ACUUAGUUACAGACUAGGACAAGUUGCCAGAGCUCUACAGGCACGUCCCACAGCCGGGAGCAAGCUCCUCUGUGCUUCACUAAAAGUAAGACCAGAGGUGGGUGACAGCGCCAUGGAGGAUUAACAAGCAAGGUACUGGGGAAAAAAAGCCUGUAGCAGUAUCUAGAUCCUUUUCUGGAAAAAGAAAACAACACAACUCUACUUACUGUAAACAAACAUUUUUUUCUUCAGUGGCAGAAACUAAAACCAGAUAAACAGCUGUGGAUACAAUGAAAUUUUUGUGAAAUCUACCUCGCUUAGCAUUGAAGGAGCAACACAAAGCUACAAUUAAGAGUCUGCUGCAAGCACAAGAGGGCAGACUGAUACACAUUAUGGAUCUUGCAAACGACAGAGGUCUCAACCUGCUACUCAAUUUUCUGCUCAUUUUCUUGGUUCUAGUGCUCGCAUUUAUCCUUGUGAAGCUGAUGUGAACCUUUGUGAGGCUCUGCUUCCUUCUCAGACCUUGUUUUGAGGGCUUUGCAAUGAUAAUGCAGACACUUAAAAAUGUCUAAAUAUAAGCAUGCAAAGACUGCUGAGGCUGAAAUAUCUGACAGAGAAUGUGUUCCCACACCAAAUUUAUCAGAAAGCAAUCCUAAAAGCUGUGCACAACUAUCUACCUACCUUUGAGUGAAAAAAGCAUCUAGAGCCUUGCUGAGUACCUGAAGAAAUCCAACUAUGCAUCAGCAGCUAUGAUAGUUGCUCACUGUUGGAGCUGAUUGGUAUUUAAAGAUCUACAAAUUAUCUGCAGACUUCAAAGAACAUCAUUUCUGCAAAAGCAGAAAUCAAAAUUUUAAAAUGGGAUUUCUGUAGAACAUGUAUUUCAUGGGAAAUGACCCAGAUACAGCAGGAAGGCAAAACAAAAUGCCAACACUGAGUUGACAGCAUACAUCAAAUUACCUGUGGAGAGAAAAGCACGGAUGCUGUAGAUGGAAACAAAGUAGCUUGCAACUGAGAUGGGGAUAAGUGAAGGUUAAAUAUGAAAACAUAAUUAUUAGUUAUACCUUUUUCACCACCUAUGGUUCACUGCAACACCCUAAAAGCCAGAAGCCUUAGUGUUAUCCAGGAGCAUCAAAAGAAGCAGCUGUCAAAACAACUGAAAAACCAAUGACCAUUAAGCAGGGUUAUCACAACUCAGCCUAGGAAACCCUUAACACUGUCACAUACACAAGCAGUAGGUCCAUCUGCACAAACCCAACAAGUGUGUUACAGCCUCAGUAAGCUGGAUUUACCACUUAGGCACAGGUCAAGUGAGCAGUGUGGGAGCUCUCCAGCCAUAUUUGACAGACCACUUGCUGCUUGCCAGUGAAAUCAUCCAGUCCAUAACUUGUCCUCACUUGUAUGUAAAUAAAUAAACUUACAGGACCUUCUUCUGUGGCCCUUUACAGGAUGACGUACUUUCCCCACAGGUCCUUGGGAAGGACAGUGACCAACAAGAGCACACUUCUCUUGGAAUUAUUUGCUGAGAAGGCAGCUCUACAUAACCUGAGACACAUUAGCAAAGGAGAUGACCAGAAGCAGAUUUUCGUACAUUACAUUGGGGCCAAACAGCUUCCUCUUAGCACCUCACUUUUCCAAGUAAAACACGGGAACAGUGUGCACCAACACAUAUACAUUGUACAGUAAACUUAACGUCAUAGAUAUGCAUAUUAACAGUCUUUUUUUUGCACACAUGCAAAAGAAGCAGAUGUUGCUCAUUGGGUGGGGGAAGCCCCAGCUUCCAGCUUUCUGCUACCAGCAGCACAUCCCUGAUUCAGCACAAACACUGCUGAGAGCCAAGUAUGCUACAGAGUUCUAUUCACAUUCACACCCAGAAUUUCCAUAUGAUUACUGUUGUUCUGGGUGGCUGAGUUAUCUGGAAGAGACCAGUCUGAAUGGAUCUAUGGUAGACUUUACACAGGAAAAGGUAGUAUCCCCAGCAAACCAGAAAGUUUAUGCAAGUCCUACCAUUAAUAGUCAUCCACGUUCCAUUCUAUGCUACCUGCUCCAAAGCUUAGGCAGUGUUAGUGCACUGGUUUGGGUUGGAAUAAAGUUAAUUUUCUUCCUAGUGUAGUAGCUAGCAUGGGACUAUGGUUUAGAACAAGUCCAAAACAUAGUUUGCACCAGCUACUAUGAAGAAAAUUAACUCUACUCCAGUCAAACCAGCAUGAUUAGCUACAGUAGCCCGGAUAGUUAAAAUGAAAGCUUUUCUUUCACCUCCUCUGAAAUAUGUGCAAUAAACAUUUAAAAUAGCUUCUGCAAACUACACAUCCAUAGCUUUUUAAUGUUAAUAGUUAUAGUAGUAUGAAUUCCCAUCUGCUUGCAUUUAAAGCAGAAAACUUUGCACAGCUACAUCACUGUAAGCACUUUAUCAUUUAUUUUGAUAAUCUUGAAAUAUUCUGCUUAAAAAAACCCACAAAACUUGUAAAUUUAUAUACAAGGCAUAUACGUGAUAAUGGUUAUGUAGUUGUGUAUUGUUUAGGAGGAUUUCUCCUGAUGCUUGACAUAGAUGGCUCAAAGCACACCAAAACCACAGAAACAAAUAGGAAGUCCACUCUAGCCCAAGGUAGAAUAAAAACAGUUUUCCCAACAAGGUGGUUAUUUGCUGAUAUACUGCCUGGGACUAUAGAAAGCUUGUUGUCUGUAUGACCUUCCAUACCAUUCCAAAGUUUCCUUUUCUUAGGGAAACCACUGUGACAGCAGUUGGCCUUCACAGAAAAUAAAGUGACAUACUCCUUCUUAAUAACAUGAGAAAGAUGAGCCUAGUGCCACCAAAUAUCACAUAUUUCCAGAUCCAAUUACAUACAAGGGAAGUCUGCAAGAAACUCUGCCACUAGAGCAUGGAGAAACAAGACCAAGAAACAACCCCAGUAGCCUCCUCUCAGUCAGCAAUGAACAUUACAGAAUCCUCAAUAAAUGCUGAAACACACUGUUGACAUUGAAACAUGUAUUUUACUGAGAUGACACAUAAAGUUGGCAAAGUCAUCAGCUAACCAAUGCCAAGUCUCUCUUUUGCAAUCAAGCACAGUCCAAGUUUGGUUUCCUAUCGUCUGCUAGUGCUUACUCCACAUUGAACUCACAUAUGGACUAUAAAGAAUGGAAUCCCAUUUGCUGGGCUACCAACUUCACAGCAAAUGGAACAGACCAUAAAAACUU